UACGUAGGGGGCAAGCGUUAUCCGGAUUUACUGGGUGUAAAGGGAGCGUAGGUGGUUUAUUAAGUCUGGUGUAAAAGGCAGUGGCUCAACCAUUGUAUGCAUUGGAAACUGGUAGACUUGAGUGCAGGAGAGGAGAGUGGAAUUCCAUGUGUAGCGGUGAAAUGCGUAGAUAUAUGGAGGAACACCGGUGGCGAAAGCGGCUCUCUGGCCUGUAACUGACACUGAGGCUCGAAAGCGUGGGGAGCAAACAGG
rnacentral:rRNA from 1 species